rnacentral:rRNA from 1 species
AUGAGUAACAGGUCGUAGACCCGAAACCAGGUGAUCUACCCAUGUCCAGGAUGAAGGUGAGGUAAUACUCACUGGAGGUCCGAACCCACGCACGUUGAAAAGUGCGGGGAUGAGGUGUGGGUAGCGGAGAAAUUCCAAUCGAACCUGGAGAUAGCUGGUUCUCUCCGAAAUAGCUUUAGGGCUAGCCUCGAGGUAAAGAGUCGUGGAGGUAGAGCACUGUUUGGACUAGGGGCCCUUCUCGGGUUACCGAAUUCAGAUAAACUCCGAAUGCCAUGUACUUAUACUCGGGAGUCAGACUGCGAGUGAUAAGAUCCGUAGUCGAAAGGGAAACAGCCCAGACCACCAGUUAAGGUCCCAAAAUAUAUGUUAAGUGGAAAAGGAUGUGGGGUUGCAUAGACAACCAGGAUGUUGGCUUAGAAGCAGCCACCAUUGAAAGAGUGCGUAAUAGCUCACUGGUCGAGUGACCCCGCGCCGAAAAUGUACCGGGGCUAAACAUAUUACCGAAACUGUGGAUGAACCUCUUCGGAGGUUCGUGGUAGGAGAGCGUUCUAAGGGCGGUGAAGUCAGACCGGAAGGACUGGUGGAGCGCUUAGAAGUGAGAAUGCCGGUAUGAGUAGCGAAAGAAGGGUGAGAAUCCCUUCCACCGAAUAUCUAAGGUUUCCUGAGGAAGGCUCGUCCGCUCAGGGUUAGUCGGGACCUAAGCUGAGGCCGAUAGGCGUAGGCGAUGGACAACAGGUAGAUAUUCCUGUACCAGUGCUAGUUGUUUGAGCAAUGGGGUGACACAGAAGGAUAGGGAAUCGCACAGAUGGAAACGUGCGUCCAAGCAGUGAGUGUGAGAAGUAGGCAAAUCCGCUUCUCGCGAAGCAUGAGCUGUGAUGGGGAAGGAAAUUAAGUACGGAAGUUCCUGAUUUCACGCUGUCAAGAAAAGCCUCUAGUUAGAUU